rnacentral:rRNA from 1 species
CACGUAGGCGGCUAGGUCCGUCCGAUGUGAAACGCCCCCGGCUCAACCGGGGAAUUGCAUCGGAUACAGCCUGGCUCGAGGACGGUUGGGGUGAGUGGAACUCCUGGUGGAGCGGUGAAAUGCGUAGAUAUCAGGAGGAACACCGGUGGCGAAAGCGGCUCACUGGACCGUUUCUGACGCUGAGGUGCGAAAGCUAGGGGAGCAAACG